AAGCCGGAAUCGCUAGUAAUCGCAGAUCAGAAUGCUGCGGUGAAUACGUUCCCGGGUCUUGUACACACCGCCCGUCACACCAUGGGAGUCGGUAACACCCGAAGCCUGUAGUCUAACCGUGAGGAGGACGCAGUCGAAGGUGGGAUUGAUGACUGGGGUGAAGUCGUAACAAGGUAUC
rnacentral:rRNA from 1 species